AUUGAACGCUGGCGGCUUGCCUAACACAUGCAAGUCGAGCGGUAACAGGUGUAGCAAUACAUGCUGACGAGCGGCGAACGGGUGAGUAAUGCUUCGGAAUCUACCUUAUGGUGGGGAAUAACUAGCCGAAAGGUUAGCUAAUACCGCAUACGUCCUACGGGAGAAAGCAGGGGAUCGCAAGACCUUGCGCCAAAAGAUGAGCCGAAGUCGGAUUAGCUAGUUGGUAGGGUAACGGCCUACCAAGGCGACGAUCCGUAGCUGGUCUGAGAGGACGAACAGCCACACUGGGCCAGAGACACGGCCCAGACUACUACGGGAGGCAGCAGGGGGGCAUGUUGGACAAUGGGGGAAACCCUGAUCCAGCGACGCCGCGUGUGUGAAGAAGGCCUGCGGGUUGUAAAGGACUUUUAGUGGGGAUGAAAUGUGCAGGGUUAAUACCUCUGCAUUUUGACCUAACCCACAGAAAAAGCACCGGCUAACUCUGUGCCAGCCGCCGCAGUAA
rnacentral:rRNA from 1 species